GCGCAGGCAAGUGUCCGUUCGUCGUGAAUCCAUGGUGGGCGCAGUCGCCGUCGUACGCAAACGUCAGUGCCGCCUGGGUGUGUUAUGCUGGUCACGCAGAUAAUUGCGCUUGAAGCUUAUAUGGCAGAGGACAUGUUAGUGAGUGCGAAUCACCAAGUGUUCUCAUUUGUGUGUACUCCAUUCGAGUACCGAGUGUAUGCCGUCCACGCAACAAGUGCGCUUCAAGCUUAUUUGCAGAGGACAAUUAUUUGCUGGCUGCACGAUGGAUCAAGUGAGAUGCAGCAUUCCAAGUCCAGGUAUUCGUUGCUGGGCGCGACACCACAGUCGGCCGGUCGCAGUCAUCAUUGAAGGAAACGGCACAGGCGAUUUCCAUGUAUUGGCAGAAUGACAACUCCCAGUGAACCGUGAGAUCGCAAUCCAUGUGCGACGAUCCAAGGCCCGAAGCUGCUGCUCUUCGUGUCCAGUGCUAUCCGAUGUACCGAUGUAUAAUGGCAACGCAACUGAAUGCACAUUUGGCGUAAUGGCAGAGAAUAUGUAUGUACGUGUAUUCUCGUUUGUAUGUAUGAGGAUUGUACGAAGUUUGCUGGCUACGCAAUGGAUGCGUUUGCAGCGUGUUGGCAGAAAAACAUAUAACUGGCUGGUGAUGGUGUUUUGUAGUUGCUGGCUGCACAAUGGAUCCAGUGAGAUGCAGUAUUCCAAGUCCAGGUAUUCGUUGCCGGGCGCAACACCACAGUCAGCCGGCCGUAGUCAUCAUUGAAGAAGCCGCCAUUUCGCCAGAAGGCGUAUGGGGCAUAGUUGGAAACGACGCAGGCGAUUUCCAUGUAUUGGCAGAAUGACAACUCCCAGUGAACUGCAAUAUCGCUAACCAUGCACAACGAUCCAGGGCCCGUAGCUGCUACUCGUCGUGUCCAGUGCUAUCCGAUGUACCGAUGUAUAAUGGCAAUGCAACUAAUGCACGUAUGGCGUAGUGGCAGAGAAUAUGUAUGUACUUAUGCAAUCAUGAUGACAAGUGCAAGUGACAAAUAUUCUCGUUUGUGUGUAUGAGCAUUGUACGAUGUUUUGCUGGCCACGCAACAGGUGCGUUCGCAGCGUAUUGGCAGAAAAAACAUAUUAUUGGCUGGUGAUGGUGUUAU